AGGACCGAUGAUGACAACUGGAGUAGGAGUCAUGGAUGAUGAAUGACACGUGUCUCAAGCUCUGAGGUCCAA
ensembl:snoRNA small nucleolar RNA, C/D box 114-4